rnacentral:rRNA from 1 species
UACGUAGGUGACAAGCGUUGUCCGGAAUCAUUGGGCGUAAAGGGCGCGUAGGCGGCCUUCUAAGUCGAACGUGGAAAUCCCCGGGGCUCAACCCGGAAACUGCGUCCGAUACUGGAAGGCUUGAAUCCGGGAGAGGGAUGCGGAAUUCCAGGUGUAGCGGUGAAAUGCGUAGAUAUCUGGAGGAACACCGGUGGCGAAGGCGGCAUCCUGGACCGGCAUUGACGCUGAGGCGCGAAAGCCAGGGGAGCCAAACGGGAUU